AUUGAACGCUGGCGGCAUGCCUUACACAUGCAAGUUGAACGGCAGCACGGGAGCGAUCCUGGUUGCGAGUGGCGAACGGGUGAGUAAUAUAUCGGAACGUGCCUAGUAGUGGGGGAUAACUGUCCGAAAGAGCAGCUAAAACCGCAUACGACCUGAGGUUGAAAGGGGGGGAUCGCAAGACCUCUCGUUAUUGGAGCGGCGGCAAUAAGAUUGGCUAGGUUGUGGGGUCAAGGCCUACCAAGGCGACGAUCUGAAGUUGGUCUUAGAGGACGACCAGCCACACUGGGACUGGGACACGGCCCAGACGCCUACGGGAGGCAGUAGUGGGGAAUUUUGGACGAUGGUCGCAAGCCUAAUCCAGAAAUGCCGCGUGCAGGAUGAAGGCCUUCGGGUUGUUAACUGCUUUUUUCAGGGAAGAAAUCCUCUAGGUUAAUACCCUUGGGGGGAUGACGGUACCUGAAGAAUAAGCACCGGCUAACUACGUGCCAGCAGCCGCCGUAAAAC
rnacentral:rRNA from 1 species